UCUUAUUUCGAGAAUGCCAGUAACCCUUUUGUGCAUGUAUGUAGCUGUACUAUAAGUAGCUGGUUUUUAUGAGAUGGUUAAAAA
rnacentral:miRNA from 1 species